rnacentral:rRNA from 1 species
AACAGCUCAAAUUUGAAAUCUGGCUCUUUUAGGGUCCGAGUUGUAAUUUGCAGAGGGCGCUUUGGCUUUGGCAGCGGUCCAAGUUCCUUGGAACAGGACGUCACAGAGGGUGAGAAUCCCGUACGUGGUCGCUAGCUAUUGCCGUGUAAAGCCCCUUCGACGAGUCGAGUUGUUUGGGAAUGCAGCUCUAAAUGGGAGGUAAAUUUCUUCUAAAGCUAAAUAUUGGCCAGAGACCGAUAGCGCACAAGUAGAGUGAUCGAAAGAUGAAAAGCACUUUGGAAAGAGAGUCAAACAGCACGUGAAAUUGUUGAAAGGGAAGCGCUUGCAGCCAGACUUGCUUGCAGUUGCUCAUCCGGGCUUUUGCCCGGUGCACUCUUCUGUAGGCAGGCCAGCAUCAGUUUGGGCGGUGGGAUAAAGGUCUCUGUCACGUACCUCUCUUCGGGGAGGCCUUAUAGGGGAGACGACAUACCACCAGCCUAGACUGAGGUCCGCGCAUCUGCUAGGAUGCUGGCGUAAUGGCUGUAAGCGGCCCGUCUUG